CCCUUAGAUGUCCUGGGCCGCACGCGCGCUACACUGACAUGUUCAACAAGCCUCCUAGUUCGACAGGAUUUGGGAAAUCUUUGAACGCAUGUCGUGAUAGGGAUAGAUCAUUGCAAUUAUUGAUCUUGAACGAGGAAUUCCUAGUAAACGCGAGUCAUCAGCUCGCAUUGACUACGUCCCUGCCCUUUGUACACACCGCCCGUCGCACCUACCGAUUGAAUGUUUCGGUGAAGAUUCCGGAUAGGACUUUUUUGAUUUAUUUCAAUUUUGUCUUAAAAGCUAUCUAAACCUCAACAUUUAGAGGAAGGUGAAGUUGUAACA
rnacentral:rRNA from 1 species